rnacentral:rRNA from 1 species
UACGUAGGUGGCAAGCGUUGUCCGGAUUUAUUGGGUUUAAAGGGUGCGUAGGCGGCCUAUUAAGUCAGUGCUGAAAUAUCCCGGCUUAACCGGGAGGGUGGCAUUGAUACUGAUGGGCUUGAGUAGAGUUGAGGUUGGCGGAAUUGACGGUGUAGCGGUGAAAUGCUUAGAUAUCGUCAAGGACACCUAUUGCGAAGGCAGCUAACUAAGCUCAAACUGACGCUGAGGCACGAAAGUGUGGGGAUCAAACAGG